GCCGAAUUAGCUCAGUCGGUAGAGCGCACGACUCUUAUCCUUAUCCUUGAUCGAUCGUGUGGUCGUGGGUUCGACCCCCACAUUCGGUG
rnacentral:tRNA from 1 species